AAAAAGGGUUUCGAUCCUUAUGGUCUGGUCUUUUUGAUGUCUACGGAAUCGCAAUCAAGAGAUUUCGGAAACAUAUUUUUUUAUUACGGUUGCGUUGCCCGUUGUGCUCUCGACCGUU